GCACUGGUGGCCCAGUGGUUAGAGCGUCCGCCUCAAAUGCGGGAGGUCGUUGGUUCGAUCCCCGGUCCAGUCAUA